GGAUCAUCAACACGACUGCUGGCUGCCGUAUGAAUCAAGGAGUCCAUCUUCCUGCUGAGUUGAGGCAUCUGCAAAGUCCAACCUGUGCAUGAGCUGCCUCAGCCGACUUAUCCCUUCAUCGUGUAAAAUAGCUAUCCAUCCCAAAUAGAUAAGAUUUGGCAUAACAGUCUCUCCUAAUCUCGCGGAAGUGAUUAAGGGCUAAAUUAUCUCACCCACUAUGACAAUUUCAAUGGUCUGGUAACCUCAGGAUCAUACGAUCUUACAACUAACAACCCAGCUGUC
rnacentral:lncRNA from 1 species